rnacentral:tmRNA from 1 species
GGGGGCGUACCUGGUUUCGACGAGGGUACUGAAGCCCAAGGGGCAUGCCGAGGUGCAGAGUACCUCGUUAAUCCAUCUGCAAACUUCAAUAGUUGACGAAAAGUACAACUACGCUCUGGCCGCUUGAACCGGCCAGCCUCUGACUGAUUGGUGCUUGUGCUGUCUGUCCAGAGGUCAUAACCACAAGAUCGCGCUGCAGUCUGUCCCGGGCGGAUGCGCUAAAUCUUAAGGGAAUCGUUGCCUGCGUUCCCCCGCCGUUUCGGGUAACAGGCAAUUAAAUUUAACGAGACGGCUAAGCAUGUAGAACCGAAGGUUGAUGGCUCGCGGACGCCGGUUCGACUCCGGCCGCCUCCACCA